AGAAUCAGUAGGACUUUCCUCCUUGAGAUAGACAGAACACAUUUCAAUAGACGUAAAGGAGUAGAAGUGACGUGACGCUGAAUUUCAUUCCAGGAUGAAGAUCCUCCUCAUCUUCAUCCUCUGCCUUCUCUCAGGUCCAGUAGACUGCUCUGAUGUGAUUGGUUACUCAGGAGGAAGUGUCAUUAUGAUAUCUAAUAUCAACUGGUACACAAGCAAUAGUAAAUAUAUUUGUAAGGUGAAAGGAAACGACUGCAUCGAUAUAAUACGUGCUGAGACCAAACGCAAAAAAACACAAGAAGGAAGAUUUUUUUUGUAUUCAAACACGUAUAACUUAUUCCUAGUACUGAUCAGAAAGCUGAAGCCACAGGAUGCUGGAACAUACAGAUUUGGAUUGGAGAAUCAGAGCAACGCCACUGUGAACCUAAAAGUUGUUAAUGAUUCUUGUUGUGCUGGGACAAAAUUAAAGACCGCUUUUGUUGGGCAGAAUAUCACCAUCACAUGUAGCUAUCCAGGGGAGUAUGAGAGUAACAUCAAGUAUGUCCUCAUGCUGGAUCACGACAUGAAUACUGAACACGUUGUUGAUACUGACAAAGAAUUUCAGAACGGAAGAUUCUCCAUUUCUGAUGACAAAAGUGCUAAAGUUCUCAGAAUGAACCUCAGCGAUGUGAGAGAAGCUGAUGGAGUAUUUUAUUUAUUUGGAGUGUGGAAAGAUGGGUCAGUCAGAUAUUACUCCUACUUUACAGAGAUUCAGCUGCAUGUAACAGGAUUGAGCACGAGCAUUCAACCAACAACAACAACAGGCACCGACAUGACGACCUCAGCAGCACUGACAGAAACUCCAUCUGCAGUGUGUUUCAGUUCCUCUGCCAUCAUCAUCGGUGUGUGUGUCUGUGUGGCUCUGCUGCUGAUUGGAGGAUUUGCACUGAUGAUCUACAAACUGAGACACAAGAGAACACAAGGUUACUUCUGAUCAUAACACCGAUUCAGCUCAUCUGUACGAAAAUUUCAGAAUGAGCUCAAUAUGAAUCUGCACCAGGACACAAACCAAUCAGACUGUUGAGCUGUUAUUCUUACUGUUCUGAGCUGCCUCGUAGUGCCUCAACUCCCAAUGCUGUAGUGUGUCUCUCUCUCUCUCUCUCUCUCUCUCUGUCUUUCUCUCUCUGUCUUUCUCUCUUUUUUUCUCUCUCUCUAUCGCUCUCUCAUUCUCUGUCUUUCUCUCUCUUUCUCUCUCCCUUGCUCUCUUUCUCUCUCUCUAUCGCUCUGUCUCUCUCUCUCUCUCUAUCGCUCUGUCUCUCUCUCUCUCUCUCUCUAUCGCUCUGUCUCUCUCUCUCUCUCUCUCUAUCGCUCUCUUUGUUUCUUGUAGUUUUUACAUUUGUUUAGUUAAAGAUAAAGUGAUGAUUGUGAGCAAGGUGUUAUGAAACUUAUUAUCUAUAUAAAUGAAACAUUAUCGAUGUAUAAUGACUGAUAAAUGAUAUUAUUAUUAUUAUUAUUAUUAUUAUUAUUGUUAUUGUUAUUGUUAUUAUUGUUGUAAUGAUUACUUAAUUAAUUGUUUCUUAACUAGUUAUCCAUUUUAUAUCAUGACAUUACUGUGCUUUAUUCUGAUCUGUUAUAGGAGUUACUUUAUUACAGUUUAAAUAUGAACCCAUUUAGUGCUGAGAUCUCGUUCAACACAUCGUACGCUCUGUUUCGAUUACGCUGUUGAGGCUUAAGAAGGAGAGCUAUAUUCCAAAUAACUGUCUAUAUCUAAUUGUGUAUUUCUGUUAUAUGUCAGUGAAAUUCUCUAUAUCAAUAAAAACACACUUCCUGUCCUUUAAACACAGCAUUCAUUUUUCUCAGCACUCUAAGUGGAGCC
ensembl:lncRNA